AUGCGGCUUCUGAACCUGGAUGGGGACCAGCGAGCCUCAGCACAGGUGCGGCUUCUGAGCCUGGAUGGGGACCAGCGAGCCUCAGCACAGGUGCGGCUUCUGAGCCUGGAUGGGGACCAGCGAGCCUCAGCACAGGUGUGGCUUCUGAGCCUGGAUGGGGACCAGCCAGCCUCAGCACAGAUGUGGGCUUCCUUUUGCUCCUCUACUUUGAUUUACUCAACUGCCCUUUGCGUUGAGAAGAGUAUUCUGAUUGAUGAAAAUGGCAGUCAAAUUGGAGCUGAGACCAAGAAUUGUCACCUGAAUGAAAACACUAGGAAUGGAUUAUUGCAUCAAGCUCUCAGUGUCUUCUUACUCAACACCAAAAUGAGUUCCUGUGACAGCAGAGAUCAGAUGUUACAGUUACCUACCCAGGCAGUUUCACCAAUACUUAUUUGUAGUCAUCCAUUAAGUAAUCCAGGCAAGCUUGAGAAAAAUGAUGUCAAUGGCAUAAGCUGAGCAGCACAGAGGGACCUAAAAGCUGAAGUAGGAAUUCCCAUGGAAGAGGCUCCUCCAGAAGAAACCUAUUAUCUAACACGAACUCGCAACAAAGUUCAAUCUGAUGGUAUCUGGGGUGAACAUAAAACUGAUGAUAUUUUGUUUGUGAGGAAGAACAUAACUUUGAAUUCAGAUCCCAGUGAGAUAAAAAGUUAUUUUCUGUGUGUUAAAGGAAGAGUUAGAACUUCUGAAAAAAGUAAUCAGUGGUGAAAUUAAAGUAACUCCAUGGUUUCAAGCUAUUAUAGAGACUUUUCUCUUUAAAUGGUGGGAUAACGGUGUGGUCUGUGACAGUGCCGGUUACACGAGGGCACAAGGGCCCUGCUGUCGCAUUUCAGUACAGACCCUGGUAGACUCCAGGAUGUGCCACGCAGCAACACACAGGCAGCUUAGGGUGCACGUGUCCAUCCAUCGACAGCAAUGA